rnacentral:lncRNA from 1 species
UCAGAUCCUGCGUUGCUAUGGCUGUGGCAUAGGCCGAUGGCUACGGCUCCGAUUGGACCCCUAGACUGGGAACCUCCCUAUGCCAUGGGAGUAGCUCAAGGAAAAAAAAAAAAAAAGAGGAAAAAAAAAAGGAUUCAGAGUGAGGUGGCUCUCCUGACACCUUAUUUUAGGGCUUCUGGUGUCCAGAGCUAUGAGAGAAUAAAUUUCUGUUGUUUUAAGCCACCAGGUUAGUGCUGAUUGGUUGUGGCAGCUUCAGGAAACACAUAGAGUCACUCAUCAAUUGAGUAAACUUCAACUAGUUAUUUAUUCUCUUUGAGCCUCAGUUUCUUUGUCUAGACCAGAGUUUAGGUCUAUGACUUGGGGUUAGUUACAUCUCUAUUUUUCAUCUAAAAAUGAGGUAAUACAACUUUUUUUUUUUAAAUUAAGAUGAGAGUAAUCAUGGAUUGAACAUUUGGGACAUCAUAAGCAUUAAUAAGCAUCUCACUAAAUAUUGGUCACCUCUGUCUGUAGUCUUCCUUGCUCUAAAAAGAAAAUGAGAAUGGCUUAAUAAAUUCUUGCCAUAAAGCAUGAUGCACUUGCACAGAAUUUAAUGCUAAGCUUUCUCUCAUGCAGAAAGGCAUUGUAUAUAUAACUCACAUAACCACGGGGCAAAUUAUCACAGUUUUAUCCUGGUAAUCUUAGGGAAGAUAAUAGUGGGCCAGACUGUACAUUCCCAAUGGGCCCACAGUUUUCCUAUAUGAGUUUCCAAAUUUGACUUAGCCUCACACGUUAUGAAAUUUUUAUUGUGUGGCAGAAAUAAGGAAAUAUCCAGUUUCUGUCCAGAGAGAACUUUUAUCCAGUAGUAAGGCAGUGAGUAGAGGACAGACAAGUAAGCCUCCAAGGAACUGACAUGAGACAGAAUAGCAUCCUGUCCUCAGUUCUUUGAGGGCUGAAAAGAUGGAUAAAUCAGUAACAUUCUAAAACAACACAAACCCAUGUUGUAUCUCGCAGCCAGGGGACGCAUUUCUUACCAAGUAGUGGUUAGGCCAUUGCACGUCCUGUCUCCAGCCAAGUGCCCAAACAGGGAAGCUUGGUGGAUAAUAGGCUUCAUUUUCCUAAAUAACCUACCCUGAAUAUUGCCAUUUCCAGGAAAAUUAAAGUCUAGAAGUUGAAGCAAAACCCAGCAUACUAAGUGCUGGGAAUAUACUGGUGAGAAAAGCUGACAAGAUCCUUGCCCUGUAGAGGUUUUAUUCUACCAGAGUAGAGAGACCUCAAUUGAUCAUAACCAACUGAAGAUGAAACUGUUCUGUAGCUAAAGGAAUUGGUCUAGUUAAGGAGAUUGAAAGGUUGUCUGGAGGAAGUGAUGUCUGAGCUGAGAUCUGAAUUUAUCUAGGUGAGUACAGGAGAAAAGAGCUUUCCAGACAGAAUGGGCAGCGUGUACAAAGGCCCUGAGAUGAGCAGAGCCUGACUAGUAGGAAGGAUGGAAUUGAGCCCAGCACCAGUGCUUUGGAAGAGAUGGCAUGGCAUGGAGGGAAGAGGAGGCUGCUAACAGAGUGUGGUCCAUGGACCAGCAUUGUGGGCAUCAUGUGGGAGCAUGUUAGAAAGGCAGAACUCAGCCCCAACCUACACCUGCUGCUGAAAGAGAAUCUGUUCGCCAUGUGUGGCUUGCAUAUUUAAGUUUGAGAAACAUCACCUUAGAACAUUUUCAGGUGGUGUGGAAAUUGCACACUGUGGAAUUUGUGUUAUUUAGUAUGCGUGCAUGUGUGUGUGUUGGGGAGGACGGAUACUAAAGCCCAUCUAAAACACCUGGUUAAUGGUGUUAGCGCAUGUCCUGUUGUUUGUAUACACUCUCCUUGAGAGCGAUAAUUCCGUGUUUUACUGUGUCAGAGCUCCUUCAUGUACUUGGAACAGUGCUGAGUAUGUUUAGUAUGCUGCAUUACUGCUGCACGGCCCACGAAAGUCUCUUUCCAUGGUGGCACAUCACUCAGAUGUCUUGAUGGGGCUGGUUUCUGCUCCUGGUAGACCUCUCUAAUUGAUCAGGCUCCUUUCACCCUGAACCUUAGACAUGGCCUGAGAUUGCCUCCACACAGUUCACCAGUGCCUACCAGUUGAUCUGAAUUGACACACAGAUGAGAUCAUUUGGUUACCCUAAUUUCUCUGAACAAAGCAUGAAAAUGAAUUUUGGGAACAAUCAGAAUUUCUGUAUUUUCCCAGGAUCCUUUAGGCUUGUGAGGAUACUGGGGAUACAUUUCCAGGAGGGAAGCAGAAUCCCUGCCUUGGAGCUUGUCCAUGAGAGUUAGUGAUGGUCAUACAGCAGCCUCCCUAACCAGAAGAGGAGGCAGAGAACCAUCUCCAAGAGCUUGCUUCUCAUAAAGGUACCAGCGGCUCAGGGAGGAACAUCAGAGACUUGCUUGAGAAAGCAUUUGUCUUUUUAAACUAUCUGAGCUGCCUCUGGGUUUGCAAAGAAGGAUGCCUGGAAGCUGUUCAGAAAGCCAACUUAGCAGCUGGGCAGCUGCAGCUACCACAGGCUUAGACAGAGAUGGAGAGGCUGUCAGACACCACAAAAUCAAUCCCGAGUCUCUGAACGAAGCAAAAUUCCCAGCAGCAGGAGUGUCCUGCUUCAUUUUCCCCUCAACUUAUUUAUAAAAGAAGAAAUGAAUCUUUCUCUCCCUGCAACACAUGCACAGAGGUGAAUGAUAAAACUGGAUUUGUCGUCAGCUGCCCCAAAUCCAAUAUUUGGUCAGCCCUUUCAAGAACAAGCAUUUUUCUGCACACUCUGAUACAGGACUGUGAUCAAAUGAGAUUGAUUACAUGUCUGAAUGAAUCACCUCUAUUAUUCUGGAGUUCUGUGGACUUGGCCUAGCUCAGCAUUUAGGUUAUAUCCAUUUGGUAGAUUCAGAAAGACCACUGGGCACUCCUGUAUUUGAGUUUCCUUUGAGUCCUCAUGGUAAGAGGGACAAGCAAGAAACUCAUGACAGCAGUUCCAGUCCUCAACAUCGCUGCCAUCAUUAAGUGAGUUUGUCUGUUCCUGAUACCAGCAGAGGCAAACACAUGGCAGACUAAUAAUCAGUUAACAUCAAGCAACCAAACAGAAGAGUUUGAGUAGUGAGGAAGAAGCAGCAAGGUUCAAUCCCGUACAUAAUAAUACAGUACAAUAUGAUACAGAGUAACAGUAUUGUGUGGUAAUACUAACCAAGGCUGUGGGUUCAGAGGAAGAGAAGAAACAUAAGCUGAGUGCUAGCAGCUGAAAAGAAAAAAAAAAAAGUUGAACUGUUGAAUAAGUCAUCCAGUAGACAUAUAUGUAACUUCCUUGAGCAUGUUUAGAAAUUCUGAGUUUGAUACCACACACCUUACACCUAGAGCAGUCUUCCCAAGAAGGUAGUGAAAGAUGACUCCGGUUGUCAAAUCUCGAAAGAAUGAUCAUUCAAACAGGUAAGAAACAGUAAGGUGGUACAGCCACAGUUUCAAAGUUCCUCAAAAAAUUAAAAGUAGAGGUGUCAUAUGAUUUAGCAAUCCUGCUUCCUGGCGUAUAUGCACACCAAACGCUAAUUCGAAGGGAUAUAUGCACUUCUGUGUUCUUAGCAGCAGUAUUCACAAUAGCCAAAAACAUGAAAACAACCUAAAUGUCCAUGGACAGAUGCAUGGAUACAGAAGAUGUGAUACAUCUAUCAAUGGAAUACUACUCAACCAUGAAAAAUAAUGAUACAUUGCCAUUUGCAGCAACAUGGAGAGACCUAGAGACCAUCAUACUAAAUGAAGUAAGUCAGAAAGAGAAAGACAUACCAUGUGAUGUCACUUACAUAUAGAAUCUAAAAUACAACACAAAUGAAUAUAUUUACAAACAGAAACAGACUCACAGACAGAGAACAGACUUGUUGCCAAGGGGAAGGGAAGGAUUGGGAGUUUGGUAUUAGUAGAUGCAAACUAUUAGACAUAGGAUGGAUAAACAACAAGGUACUACUAUAUAGCACAAAGAACUAUAUUCAUUAUCCUGUGAUAA